rnacentral:lncRNA from 1 species
AGUGACAUAUUUCAAUAUAAUCUCUAAAACUCUAUGAAUUGAACAGAUAAAAUACCUCUGGGCUAUUUUGUUACAAAAUAUUUGCCAUUUGGAUUAGUUGCUGGGUGUAGCCACCCUGCCUUUCCCUAGAGAGGUUUCUCUCCAAUGGGGUGAAGGGGCAUAUACGGGGGGUGGGGACGGCACAGCAAGAAAGUCCGUACAGCAGAAUACAGGGACAGAUGGACAGAUGGUUAUCGGGGAAGCCUAUUGGACACAAAGAGACAUUCUGGCAGGCUAUGGGGGAACAGUGCGGUGCGACGUCAAGGAUUUCAGGGGUCGAGGGCCCAGGGCUGAUCAAUACAUGUGCCUUGGGAGGCAGGCUUCCAGCUCAAGCUGUCAGGCCAGGGUCUUGCUCCAGGUCUGGUGUGGGACUUGCCCAAAACUGGGUGGGAAAGCUAGUUAUAGUUCCCACUCCUGGUUCUGGGGUUGGGACCAGAGGGAUAAAAUUGAGAUAGGGACCUAGGUCCCCUAAAUAAGGCCUAGAGAGUUGAUCCAGUGGGGCCACUCCGGGUGGUGUAACUGGGCACGUACCCAGGAUGCUGUGCCUGGGGGCCCAGUUGGCACUCCGCUGGCCCCACUGCCUUGGCGAGGAGAGCCCAAGUGUGUCUCUAGCCAGGCCCCCUGGGAGGGCUGGGCCUUGGUGUGGCUGCUGGAGUGGGAGGCUCAUCCUAAGCCUUUGGGGAUGAGGCUCUGGGGACAGGGACAGUGGUGGGUCCCAACCUUAGUCUGUUGGCUGAUCAGGGAAGGGCAGUUAUAGAUAGUGGGAACUCUUGCAUCCCCAACAGUGAGGGGAGCCAUCAGGGAUUAGAAGCCCCUCACAGCUCAGACCAGGCCUCCCAGUGCUGCCAGUGGGGCUCAGGGAAGCCACCACAAUGACGGGGUGAGCUCCUCCCUGGAGUAGGGACCCUGAGAUGCCUGAGCAUCUGGGUCCUCAGCCUCUGCUGAUCCUGACCUGGAAAGCCAAGGCUACAGCAGAUGUGGGAGGGAGGGGCCAGCUUAGCCUGCCUGUCAACAGGGGGAGGGCACUUUUCAAUGAGAAGCGCUGUGGAGCAGGUGACAGGGACCAGAUGGUUGCGACUGUCCCCCUUCUCGGUGGCCCCUGGCACUCAUGGUCCCCACCCUGUGGGGGUGGCCACACGUGGCCAUCUCAUAGCUCCUGUUCCUUCCUAAGGCAGCCUCUCUGACGCCCAGCAUAACGACUGCCCUCUUCCAGCAUCGUCCUUCGUUUGAGGAUUGGCCCCUCCCUCCUGGGUCCCUGACUCCUGCUGCCCAGGCCUGCACUUUUUAAGGGUGAUCCCUGCCUUAGCCAAGGGCAUCAGAGGUGACUGAAUCUGUGCGUCCCAUCUGUCAGCCACUCUGUCCCAAAAGGCUGUGACUGGAGCCACCUGUUACAGGGAAGACAUGAGAAAGGUGCCAGGCCCACGAGGAUGGGGCGGUCAGCUGGGCAGCCACCAUGGGAGGAGGUGGCAAAUUGGCCACAAGUUAUGGAAACCAGACUGACAAAGACAGAGCCAGAAAUAAACUCACUGGGUGACAUCAUAUGACGUCUGGGUGACUGCACACACACAUACGAAACUAGGUCAUCUGGAACCUCUGAGACUGGGGGAGGACUCUGUGCCUCCUAGCUGGCUCAGGGCGCUCCCUUUGGGGCAUGGAGUAGGCGUCAGGGAGAAGCAGAUUCACUUUAGACCCGGGCAGCACUCACCUCCAUCUCCUGGCAUGCUUUAUUAACGGGCUCCAAGGGAGGGGAUUUUAGCGCAGGACAGCAAUGAGCUCUUGGCACAGGACUGGAGAGACCAGCCUGGUCUGGGGCAGGCGCUUCCUGAAACGGCUGGGGUUGGGUUUGGGGCAGGCCACCGUCCUGCCUGAGGGCUUCGAGGCUUGGCUGCCUGGGCUCUAUGAGGAGCCUCCUAAAAGCUUGACUCUCUGAUUCUGGUUGGCCCUGGGAAGGUCAGUGAGCCCUGCUUGGCUCUCCUUUGCAAUUUUGAGGGUGUAGGGGCUCUUUCAGCCACUCCUACUGAAAGCAGGCCUGGCGCCUUCCUGGAGGAGACAUGGGGAGGAGGAUUUAAAGGCUGAUGGGCUAGUUUGGGACAGCAGCAAGAGGAAUCCAAGUGCCUCUGGAGCACCUGCUUCUCUUGCCUGCUUCUGCCUCCAAAUCUUUCAUGGAGGCUGUGGAAGUCAUUCAAAAAGGAGCCCUGACUUGGAUCCAAAUCCUACCUGUCCUGGGCAGAUCACCGCUUCUCCCUGUUUCUGCUUCCACAUUGGAAGAACCUGGUUUUUCUGAGUGUGUUUCCAUCUAGACUCUGCACACUCUGCAUUGGCUGGGGCUAGAAAACUAAGAAACCCUUUUGAAAGUUGCGUACGUGACCUCACAAUUCCACAGCUCUGCUGACUUAAUCUCGAGAGAGCUGAGAGUGGUCCCCCUUACCCUCUUAACUUCCUCAGAACUUUCCUGAAGUCUGAGAAGCCCUGGAUAGGCAGGGCCCAGCUCCUGAGAAGGCGGGAGAAGGCCCUGGGAGGAGGGUAAGGAUGUGGUCAGGACAGCUGAUAUCCCUGGGGGGUGGAGGAUCAGUUGCCUGAGACUCCUGGCCCUGAGGGUGCAGCAGAGAAAACCUCCCACCCCUCGUGCCUCCCCACCUGGCCUGAGGCCCAGGGCCUGACAGUCUCAGGGCCAGGAAGCUGGUUAGGCUCUUGGCUCCUGCCUUCUGCAGUACAUGGUCUAGGUGGCCAGAGUGGUAGUAGGGAAGAGGAGGCCUGGAUGCACCUUGCUGUGGAGGGCCCCAGGAGAGUGAGGUGGUGUCUCCAGAUUAGGGGCAAGGGGUGCUUGGCAGACUAAGGGAAGCAUGGUUGGGUGAGGCAAACCCAGGUGCCAGGGAUUGAGAUUCUCUUUCCAAAACGAUCACCAGUGACCAGAAGUGCAUCGUGCCAGGGCGUGGGAAGCAGCGAGCAAAGGGGCAGUUGGGGCUGCUGGGUGCAGCUGAGGGUGCUCCCAGGCUCCGGCAGCCGGCCUUCCCGGGACAGCAGCAUGGGGAGGACAGAGUCUACACCAGGCUCCUGGAGCCGCUGGAGUAGCGGCGUCGGUGCAGCAGGGACCCGGGUGGGCAGUACUGGUGGGGGUGGUUGUAGGGGGGAGGGGGCGGGGGCAGUGGAGGCUGGUGGAUGACCUUGACCGGGGAGCCUGGGCCACCCAAGGGCGUGGAGCCACAGGAGUCAGAGGAGGACGAGGCGUAGCAGGAGAGGGCCUGGCUCAGCAGGGGCUCCAUGCGGGCCAAGCAGGGCUUGUCCAGGACAAUGACCUUGACAAUCUGCUGGCACUGCACCAGGGUCCCGGGGGGUGUGGGUGGCGGUGGCAGCGGCGGGGGCUGCUC